rnacentral:rRNA from 1 species
UACAGAGGGUGCAAACGUUGUUCGGAAUACUGGGCGUAAAGCGUGUGUAGGCGGCCUCGUAGGUCGGAUGUGAAAGCUCUCGGCUCAGCCGGGAAAGUGCAUUCGAAAACCACAAGGCUUGAGUGUCGGAGAGGAAGGCGGAAUUGUCGGUGUAGAGGUGAAAUUCGUAGAUAUCGACAGGAACACCUGCGGCGAAAGCGGCCUUCUGGACGAACACUGACGCUGAGACACGAAAGCGUGGGGAGCAAACAGG